rnacentral:rRNA from 1 species
CGAACCGUCCAAACGUUAUUCGGAAUCACUGGGCUUAAAGGGUACGUAGGCGGCGCUGUCAGUCGGGUGUGAAAUCCCACGGCUCAACCGUGGAACUGCGCCCGAUACUGCAGUGCUUGAGGGAGACAGAGGUAAGCGGAACUGAUGGUGGAGCGGUGAAAUGCGUUGAUAUCAUCAGGAACACCGGUGGCGAAAGCGGCUUACUGGGUCUCUUCUGACGCUGAGGUACGAAAGCUAGGGGAGCGAAGGGGAUUAGAUACCCCCGUAGUCCUAGCUGUAAACGUUGAGCACUUGAUCGAGGGCCCCCCCAUAGGCUCUCGGUCGUAGCGAAAGUGUUAAGUGCUCCGCCUGGGGAGUAUGGUCGCAAGGCUG